rnacentral:misc_RNA from 1 species
AAGUCGUAACAAGGUUUCCGUAGGUGAACCUGCGGAAGGAUCAUUAAAGAACGCCCCGUUUUUUGAAAUGGGUAAUUCCAAACGGUAUACUACCUUUGUUGCUUUGGCAGGCCGCCCCUUGGGGGCUCGGCUCCGGCUGUGCGCCUGCCAGAGGACCCAAACUCGUUUGUUUAGUGUGUCUGAGUACUAUAUAAUAGUUAAAA